UACUUUGGUGGCGACCGGCGCACGGGUGCGUAACGCGUAUGCAACCUACCUUUAACAGGGGCAUAACACUGAGAAAUUGGUACUAAUUCCCCAUAACAUUCGAGAAGGCAUCUUCUUGGGUUAAAAACUCCGGUGGUUAAAGAUGGGCAUGCGUUGUAUUAGCUAGUUGGUGAGGUAACGGCUCACCAAGGCAACGAUACAUAGGGGGACUGAGAGGUUAACCCCCCACAUUGGACUGAGACACGGCCAA
rnacentral:rRNA from 1 species